rnacentral:rRNA from 1 species
UACGAAGGGGGCUAGCGUUGUUCGGAAUUACUGGGCGUAAAGCGCACGUAGGCGGAUAUUUAAGUCAGGGGUGAAAUCCCAGAGCUCAACUCUGGAACUGCCUUUGAUACUGGGUAUCUCGAGUAUGGAAGAGGUGAGUGGAAUUCCGAGUGUAGAGGUGGAAUUCGUAGAUAUUCGGAGGAACACCAGUGGCGAAGGCGGCUCACUGGUCCAUUACUGACGCUGAGGUGCGAAAGCGUGGGGAGCAAACAGG